rnacentral:lncRNA from 1 species
AUUAGGGCCAACCGCGUAGAGCUGAGCGGUUGUGCUGUUUCUUAGGCUGUCGAGGCUGUCUCCUACCAGACGGAAACCGAGGUGCAGGGAGGGGAGGGGAGGAUUUCGGAGCCGAAUGUUUUUCCUCCAGCUAGACUUUACACCAGAUGGUCACUUAGUCUCCCUAGGACAUGUUGUUACCUUUGGUUCCAGGAACUUUGGUCAAGGGCACCAAAGAGGGGUCUUACUAUGUAAGGCCAGGCUGGUCUCCAAUUUACAGAAAUCCACCUGUCUCUACCUCCUAAAUGCUGGGAUUAAAGGCACUUGCCAUGACACUUGGUAGGGUUUUUUAUUGUUGUUUUUGCCUGCAUGUGUGUAUGUGCACCAAGUGCAUGUCCAGUGCCCAAGAAGGUCAGAAGAGGGCUUUUAGGUCUUCUGGAACUAGAGUUACAGAUGGUUGUGA